rnacentral:hammerhead_ribozyme from 1 species
AUCCAGCUGAUGAGUCACGAAUAGGACGAAAUGCGCAUCCUAGUGGAU